rnacentral:rRNA from 1 species
UAGAGUUUUGAUCAUGGCUCAGAUUGAACGCUGGCGGCAGGCUUAACACAUGCAAGUCGAGCGGUAACAGAUCCAGCUUGCUGGAUGCUGACGAGCGGCGGACGGGUGAGUAAUGCAUAGGAAUCUGCCCAGUAGUUGGGGAUAGCCCGGGGAAACCCGGAUUAAUACCGAAUACUCCCUACGGGGGAAAGCAGGGGAUCUUCGGACCUUGCGCUAUUGGAUGAGCCUAUGUCGGAUUAGCUAGUUGGUGGGGUAAUGGCUUACCAAGGCGACGAUCCGUAGCUGGUCUGAGAGGAUGAUCAGCCACUGGGGCCUGAACACGGCCCAAACUCCUACGGGAGGCAGCAGUGGGGAAUAUUGGACAAUGGGGGCAACCCUGAUCCACCAUGCCGCGUGUGUGAAGAAGGCUUUCGGGUUGUAAAACACUUUCAGGAGGAGGAAAACCUUACUUAAUACCAGUGAGGCUUGACGUUCCUCACAGAAGAACCACCGGCUAAAUCCUGCCACUGCCGAGGUAAUUCCGAGGGUGCAACCCUUAAUU